rnacentral:rRNA from 1 species
GACGGAGGGUGCUAGCGUUGUUCGGAAUCACUGGGCGUAAAGGGCGCGCAGGCGGCCGGAUCAGUCGGGUGUGAAAGCCCGGGGCUCAACCCCGGAACGGCACCCGAGACGGUUUGGCUCGAGACCGGGAGAGGAGGGUGGAAUAGCCAGUGUAGAGGUGAAAUUCGUAGAUAUUGGCUGGAACACCGGUGGCGAAAGCGGCAUCCUGGACCGAUACUGACGCUGAGGAGCGAAAGCCAGGGGAGCAAAGCGGG